GGGGGGGGUCUGUCUGUGUGUAAUUUGAUAUUUGUGGGUGUUUCAGGUAUGAGGAAGAGAUCAACUGCAGGGCCACUUCAGAGAAUGAUUUUGUACUGCUCAAAAAGGAUGUGGAUGAAGAAAUUAUGAGAAAGGUGGAUUUGGAAAGCCAGUUGACAGCUAUUCAGGAUGAAAUCUUGUUCCUCAGAGAAGUGCAUCAGAUGGAGCUGUAUGACAUGCAGCAGCGUGUGAAGGACACCUCUGUGGUGGUGCAGAUGACAACCUCCC